rnacentral:misc_RNA from 1 species
AGAGAUGAUGAGCUUGGCCGCGUCUUCGAUGGUCAUG